rnacentral:misc_RNA from 1 species
UUUCCGUAGGUGAACCAGCGGAAGGAUCAUUAAAGAGAAUAUGCCCUUCGGGGUAGAUCUCCCACCCUUUGUUUAUAUUACCUUUGUUGCUUUGGCAGGCCCGUCUUCGGACCACCGGCUUCGGCUGGUCAGUGCUUGCCAGAGGACCCAAAACUCUUAUUAUUAAUGUCGUCUGAGUACUAUAUAAUAGUUAAAACUUUCAACAACGGAUCUCUUGGUUCUG